rnacentral:rRNA from 1 species
UCCGGCCUAACACAUGCCAGUCCAGCGGCAGCCGGUCCUUCCGGAUGCUGGCCAGCGGCGGACGGGUGAGUAACCCGUGGGAAUCUGCCCCUCCGUGGGGGAUAGCCCGAGGAAACUCCGAUUAAUACCCCAUACCCCCUACGGGGCAAAGUAGACCUCUGAUUUAAGUUUACGCCCAUGGAUGAGCCCGCGGCCCAUUAGCUAGUUGGUGGGGUAAAGGCCCACCAAGGCAACGAUCGGUAGCUGGUCUGAGAGGACGAUCAGUCACACCGGAACUGAGACACGGUCCGGACUCCUACGGGAGGCAGCAGUGGGGAAUAUUGGACAAUGGGCGAAAGCCUGAUCCAGCAAUGCCGCGUGGGUGAAGAAGGCUUGAGGGUUGUAAAGCCCCUUUCAGCAGGGAGGAAAAGCGUUCGGUUAAUACCCGGGCGUCUUGACGUUACCUGCAGAAGAAGCACCGGCUAACUCCGUGCCAGCAGCCGCGGUAAUACGGAGGGUGCAAGGCGUUAAUCGGAAUUACUGGGCGUAAAGCGCGCGUAGGCGGUUAUUUAAGUCAGAUGUGAAAGCCCCGGGCUCAACCUGGGAAUUGCAUUCCAAACUGGCAGACUAGAGUGUAGUAGAGGGAGGUGGAAUGUGCUGUGUAGCGGUGAAAUGCGUAGAUAUAGCACGGAACACCAGUGGCGAAGGCGGCCUCCUGGACUAACACUGACGCUGAGGUUCGAAAGCGUGGGGAGCAAACAGGAUUAGAUACCCUGGUAGUCCACGCCGUAAACGAUGAGAACUAGCCGUUGGGCCCCCUAGGGGUUUGGUGGCGAAGCUAACGCGAUAAGUUCUCCGCCUGGGGAGUACGGCCGCAAGGUUAAAACUCAAAUGAAUUGACGGGGGCCCGCACAAGCGGUGGAGCAUGUUGUUUAAUUCGAUGCAACGCGAAGAACCUUACCACCCCUUGACAUCCUCAGAAUUUGUCAGAGAUGACUUAGUGCCUUCGGGAACUGAGUGACAGGUGCUGCAUGGCUGUCGUCAGCUCGUGUCGUGAGAUGUUGGGUUAAGUCCCGUAACGAGCGCAACCCUUGUCCCUAGUUGCCAGCGAUUCGGUCGGGAACUCUAGGGAGACUGCCGGUGACAAACCGGAGGAAGGUGGGGAUGACGUCAAGUCAUCAUGGCCCUUAUGGGCAGGGUUACACACGUGCUACAAUGGCCGGUACAAAGGGUUGCCAACCCGCGAGGGGGAGCUAAUCCCAGAAAACCGGUCGUAGUCCGGAUCGGAGUCUGCAACUCGACUCCGUGAAGUCGGAAUCGCUAGUAAUCGCAGAUCAGCAUGCUGCGGUGAAUACGUUCCCCGGGUCUUGUACACACCGCCCGUCA